UACUAUAAUGCAAUUGAGUUGAUUGGAACCUCUCCAGCGCGCUGACAAUAAACAGGAUGAUUGACUGAGUGUCCCUGUGUAAGAAUUUCCACAACAAUUUGGCGUCAACAAAAAGGAUGAUUGAUUCUGCAUGCGGAGCUUUCCAGUGGGGGUCUAUGAGGAAAACCAGUGGCGCAUUUUAUGAAGCGUGAGGGAAAUUCCCGUCUGACCAAAAGACGACGAGACCCGCCCAGAACAGACCCUUACUGUGAGCUGCCCAGGAGGAGACACAUCAUCUGAACAAUUGAGGGACGGCAACUGAUUUCAGUUAUGGCGAAGGUGACCACAGAUGGUAUCUAGAUGAUUGGAAGAUAAUUUGACCAAGAACAGUGUGAACCUCAACACACCCUCUAACCGGCUGAAGUAAUGGGGACAAUGGCGUUCAAAAUGGUCCUCUCACUUCUACUGUGAGACCUGAGUCCAAGCCAGCAACCUGUACACAGCAUCCAAUCGAAGCUAUCAACUGUCUUUUCUGUCAUGCUUUUUCUCUCAGGAGUGCGACAUGGGUCCAUGGAGAGAGAUCCAGUCCAAACUUCUCUCAUACUGCUGGUGUACUGGUAGGCAAAUGGACAAAGACAUAAUGGACUGUAAAGGACAGUGGCGGCUCAGGUGAGAGACAUUAUCAAGGGCCAUCCACGUUGAACAUAUGCCAUUAAAAGGACGAACUGAAACCCUAUCU